ACAUCUCAUUUUGUUUUUAUUUCGCUUUAGGUGGGCCAUAAAACAUGAAGGGAUCAGUAAGCCAGGCCAAUGGAAGCAUUCCAGAGUUGAAAAUCCCCUAUGGAACAAGCUUACUUACAUGUGGCCGGUCCUUCCCAGUGGACAACUUAAUGAGGUUGUAUGGCUUAGUAGAAGAGGCAGUUGUUGGGACUUACUUUACGACCCCAUAUGUGAUCAUCCUGCUGAAAAUUUCCAUGCAUCUUUUGAAUUGUAGUUGUUCUAUAUCAAAGAUAAAACUUACUCUUUCUGUAGAUGUGUUCAAGUUUUUCAUUAUGAUAACAAAUUAAUCUAUUUCUUCUUGACCAUCAAAUUUAUUUACAAAUAUAUUAUUUAUUAUGUGUUUUGAAAUUUAGUUCUUAAGCAUACACAUAUUCAAAAUAUUGUAUGUUUCUAUUAAAUUGAAAUUUUAUCAUUAUUUAGAAACUCUAGUCUAAUUAAAGUUUCAUUUAUACAAAACUAAUAGAAAAUAUCAAUUUUUGUUGGUGUUUUUGGUUAUUAUUUGUUUAGUAUAGAUUCUUUUCAUCCUUUUACUUUCUAGUUUUAUAUAUUCUGUCUUUGGAGAGUUCUGGUAAUCAGCAUGUAGUUAAUUUGAGAAAUUUAUCUAAUGAUCUCUAUCUUUAAAAUAAAGCAUUUGGUCUUUUCUGAUUUUUGUAAUUAUAGAUAUAUUUGGAUUGUUAUUCAUUUUCUAUUUGUCCUAACUUUUCUGUACCCCACCCCAACUUUUUGUAGCUUGGAAGUUAUACCCUCUGCACGCUCUGUUGUUAUUGUUCUUCUCUUAAUCUGAAUAUAUUUCAGCCUACAUACAUAAGUCAUCAAAAUGCAAAGUUAAAUAUAUUCACUCUUCUUUCAAAUAAUCAAUAACAGAAUAUAUAACUACAAUCAUAUUAUUUGUGAUAUAAGGUAUUAUUGUCAUAUACUUAAGUGGUAUCUUAAAAAAAAAUUCUCUUGGAUAUAAACAUUGCUGUAUGCAGUUAAUGCGUAUUUAUGUUUACCCCCAGUUUCCAUCUUUCUUGUUAUAAUUUUUUUUUACAUCUCAGUCCCUCCACCUAGGGUUAUUUUCCUUUGGCCUAGAACAUCCUUCUUUUAGUUAUUCGUAGAAAAUGCUUUUGAUAUUUUUGUUGUUGCUGUUAUUUGCUUUUUUGCAUUACUGGAAAUGGAACCCAGGACCUCACACAUGCUAGGCAAAUGCUCUACCACUGAGCUACAUCUCCAGCCCUUUUUGUUUGUAUUUUGAGACGGGGUCUUGUUAUGUUGCUCAUACUGGCCUCAAACUUGUGAUCCUCCUAGGUUAUCUACCACAAGGCUCAGCUUUCUGUUUUCUCCUUAUCUGAAAGUGUCUUUAUGUUGCCCUCAUUCAUGUUAGGUAUUUUCACUUAGCAAACUGAAGAUACCACCACUGACUUCUGCCUUCCUUGUUACUAUGGAGAAGUCAGUGGUGGUUUCAAAUGCUAUGCCUUUUUCUAUCUAUUUGCUUUUAAUAUCUUUUCUUUGAUAUUCUACAGUUUUACCACCGCAUAUCUGAGAGAGGAUUUCUUCCCCUUCUCCUCCUCCUAUGGUACUGGUGAUUGAACCCAGGAUUACUCUACCACUGAGCUACAUCCCAGACUUUUUUUCCUUUCUUUUGAGAAAAGGUCUUACUAAGUUGCUAAGGUUGGCCCAGAGCUUGUGAUCUCCUGCCUCAGCCUCCCAAGACACACAGGCACCAUGCCUGGCUGAGGAUUUCUUUUUAUUUUAUCCUGCUUCAGAUUUACAGGUUCUUUGAGGUUCUUGAAUCUGUGGGUUGAUCUCUUGCAUAAUUUCCAGGAAAUUAUCACGUAUCCCUUCAAACAUUCUCUCUCUGGUAUGUAUUCACUCCAUUAAUAGUCCUGGCUAUACACCAGGACUUCUCAUUUGACCUUCAAGUAUCUUGACACAUAUUUUCCAUCUUUUGCCUCUUUUUGAUGCAUUUUAUAUCAUAUUUUUCAGUCUAUGGUAUGAAUUCUCAAUGAAGAUUAUUUUUCUUCUCCACACAAUGAAAAUGUUUGAGGCAGUAUAUUUUACUUGCAGCUUUCUGGAGAGACAUUAUUUCUAGUUUGCCUAUUUAAUGAAAUUUAGUCUAUUAUGCUUCUUAUUUUAUGAGGAGAGAGGGUCUCCUAUGAGACUUCCCACCUAGAUUGGGUGCUGAGUUUGUUUCCUAUGCCCUUCCUUGGGUCAAUUAUACAUAAUAAAAUAUUUAACAAUUUUACACUAGGUUUUGAAUUAUUGAGUUGUUUGUAACAGGGAGUCAUCAACUUACUGAUUGUGUUGUAUUUUCUGAUCUAAUCAAGUGUUUUUUUUCGUCCCCCUUAAAUCAUGCUUUCCUGUACUUCUUCACUGAGUAAACUGACCAGUCUCAGCACUUUAGUGAAAGGACACAUGCUGUCUGAAAAGGAGAAGUCAUUGCUUAAAGCCCCAAAGAUGCCUUUUUACUUAGACUGCAGUGAAAUAACAAUCUAGAAAACUGAGAUUUUCUUUUCUUUUUCUUUUUCAUACCAUGGAUUGAACCCAGAAACACUUAUCCACUGAGCCAAAUCCCCAGCCCUUUUCAUUUUUUAUUUUGAAUUAGGAUCUUGCUAAGUUGCCUAGGGCCUCACUAAUUUGCUGAGUCUCGCCUUAAAUUUGUGAUCCUCCUGCCUCAGCCUCAUGCCCUGCAAAAGCUGUGUGCCACUAUGCCUGGAAAAAGCUGAGUUUUAUAAAAAAAAACAAACAAACAAAAGGAGAGCUUCUAAACAGCAGAGCCUGUGGGUGGGCAAUGGAUGGUCUGGGAUUUGACAAUUAAAUGAUCCUAGGAAUUAAUGUUGUGAGAUAUAGGGUUCAUAGCACUAGUGAGAGCCAACAUGGAGUCCAGGAUAGAAGGUUGGCAUGGAAAGACCAAUAGGGCCACAUAUGCCAAGAAAAAACCACUUUGGCUUGCUCUGAUUGUAGAUUUUUCUCUAGAAGUCCAAGAAGGACAGAGGCUAAAAUCUAGAAAACAGGCAGGAUAUUAGCUGGUGGUGACCAAAUGCCAGCAGUUUGCCCCAUAAUCAAAUAGGUCAAAAGCCAUGACCUUUGAGGCCUCUGAGGAUCCAGGACAGCUAUUUAUCUAAAUGUUAUUUAUUGUAUUCAAGUAUCUAUAUAGGGAGACCAUGGGCCUCUUUUACCAAUGGUAAAUGGUUUAUUGAACUUUCAUCUAAACUCAGAAACUAUCUUGAGGAGAAGCUUGCCCUUGAAAGGAGACAAAAAUUCUGGCAAGAAGUUUGACCUUCAAAUAUAAUUGAAUAUGUAUCAAAAUGACAAAAUUAAAAAACAAAAAAGAGGUUUUUUUCUUAUAUAUAUUGGCAAAACCGGGAUACCUCUAAUCCACCGAAUGGAUAGAGGGAUGGACAGGGAAGCCUAUAAGAAGGUACUUUUUGUAGAAUGAGAGACAAUUGUAAUUUUCACAAAUUUCACAAAUAUUGUGGUUAUCUUUUAUGUCAGUCAAAGUAAAAGUCAUUCAAUAAAUUUAUUUAAGUAAUUAGGAUACCUAAGCUAACCAGAUUGAGAAAACUACCACAAAAGAGGGUUUCAAAAGAAACAGGUCAUGGAGAUGGCCAGGUAUUCAGAAAAAUAAAAUAAAAUUGAUGAUUUAAAUAUGUGUGUUCUAUCUACAUAACAAGAGUUUACCACCUUUGGAAGUUGUUCAAUAAUAUUCUAACAGCUUUAAUAUGUUUGAUGAAUGGAUUUUCUAUUUCUCUUUAGAUCAUUUACCUUAAAAAAUAACAUUUUGCUUAUGGUCUAAGAUUUGACAACUGAAUGAUCUUAGGAAUUAAUACAUAUAACUUCAGUUUUUUUUUCUAGCCAUUCAAAUAGAACAGUAGCUUUUGUGUGGAAUGGAUAAUUUACUAUACUCCAACAAAACUCUGACCUUCACUUAUAAACUGAAGGGAGAGAUCUAAGGUAUUAAAUUAAUUGAAGUCAGGCAAACUGACCGUGUAUUUCAAAUGACUCAGUCUGAGGGUCCUGCUAUGUCUUGAAAUGUUUGGGGAAGAGAAAAAAGUAAGUUACCAAGCCUGGAAUUCAGAUAGCUCUCAAAUUUAAAUAUAAUCAAUUUUGCUUCAAGCCUGGAUCCAUCAGAUUAGUAGGAACCAUAUUUUUUUUCCAGUCUUAUUUUCACACAGUUGCUUUUUAGCAAAAAGAUUAUUUUAUUUCAGCAUAUAAUUAAGUGCAAUUAAUAAUUUGGUUGUAAAGACUGUAAUUAGGAAAUGUAACAUUUUUAUUGUGGAAUACAGAAUACUUUGGGCACUGUAAGCAUAUGUAUUAAUUUUAUUACAAACUUAAUCUUUGAACUUCACCAUUUUUCUAACUACUAUUUGUUAUAUAUUUAGGCAGUGCAUAAAGAACAAGAAAGGAUAUAGACAUAGUCCCUAACUGAAGCUUAAAGUUGUAAGUCAGAAAGGAAGAAACUAGAAAAAGAGGCAUAGCUGAUGAAUAAAGGAGGAAGAAAUUCAAAUAAAAAUUUGGGGUUCCAGAAAUAAAAGGCUAAUUGUUGACCAAGUUAAUUCAGUCAUACAAUCAGAGUAAAGAAAGUGUAGCUGGGAUGACUGCCUGAAUCGGCCUAAAAAUUAAGUCAAAAUUCUGAACCUAAGAAAACCAUUUAAAAGACACUAUCUUGAGUGAGAGUCCAAUUCUCCUGUUAAUUCUUUAACAAGAACUUUCCAAAGUAGAAUGAUGACUAAGGGAAGAUGUAAGGAAAUAUAAACAAUAUGUAAAUAUGGGAUUAUUUUUGUAGUUUCUCUGAAUGCAUUAAUGCUCUAAACUGUUUACCUCUCAGUGGUGACAGCUGAUCUGAGAACUGAUUUCAUGCUGUUAUCGCUUUUAAAUAUUAUUCAUUCUAAAAAGAAAUUGAUAAUUUUUUUUUAAUCAACAAACAGCAUCUCAUGUAUUUGGGGAUACCAAUAUUUUAAAAAUAUUUUUUAAAUAAAGGCUUAUAAAAAGCAGAAUCAUCAUUAGUAACUAUGAUCAUGGGAAUAAUUUAUACAAACUCGGGUUAUUUUCUCACACCUUGAGUAAAAGUUAUGAAUUGAAAAAUUGUAUUUCUUAAUACUUAAAUGUAAGGAGCAAUGGAUUUUUCAUAUUCAAGAAUGAAAUCUUUGAAAAAAAAGUGAUUUCAAAGAGACUUAAGAUUUUGGAAUGUAUAUUGGAUAGUGACUUAAAAAUUUCUAAAUUACUAAAUUAAAUCAUAUCUCUUUGGAUGGGCUCAGGCUAGACCAAAAGAAAAAAAAAGGUAAAAGUACAAAUUUUAUUUAUCUGUUAAGAGAUGAUAUUUCUAGUAGCCAAAAGUGAUAAGAGGCAUGUCCUUGGAGGCCUCUGAGGAUUCAGGACAAUAUAGGUUUUUACACAUAAACCAUGGACCCUUUCUAUCAAUAGCAAAUGGUCUUUUGAAAUAAACUAAGAAACCAUCUUGAGGAGAGGAAUGGGUAGACAUGUAUCCUUGAAAGCAAACAACAGAUUACUUAAGGGAAUAUGGGAAGGUUCAAGAGAGAAAAUUGAAGAUUGAUUUACUUAUUAGUCUUUUAAUAACAAAUAGAUGAAGUAGGGCCACACAUGACUAAGAAAUUGAGAUCAACGAGCUGACUCUCAAAAUGAAAACAUGUUUUGUCCACUUAAGAGAGGUGAGAAAGAAAAAAGCAUAAUUAUAAUCCCUUCAAGGGAGCACCAUGACAACUCAGGAUCGCCUGACAGUGUAGCUGGGUCAUGGAAUAUUGUGAACACAAGGAAAACCAGCAGAGAACGAAUAGAGCCCUGGAAGACCUGAGAAAAAAUAGAACUCUAGCCCUAUUUAAUUAUCCAUGUUUUUGUUACCUUUUAUUAUCUUUAAACCAUGUUUCUUUAUUUCCAUGAAGGACAAAAUAAAGGUGCCUUAAACAUUAGAACAAAAAUUAAAGUUUUUUUAUUUUUAUAUUUAUUUGUUCUUUUUAGUUGUACAUGACAGUAGAAUCUAUUUUGAUAUAUUUAUACAAACAUGGACUAUCUUAUUCUAAUUAGUAUCCCAGUCUGUACACAAUGUUGAGAUUCACUGCAGAGUAUUCAUACAUGUACAAAAUUAAAGUAUUUUAGAGGAAGAAUUGCCAUUGGUAGUACCCAGCUUGGAAAAUUUUGAAACCCAAGCUAAUUUUUCAUCUCUUUGAUUGGGUUUCUGUGAUAUCUCCCGUUGAAAAGAGAGGACUGUUGUGCUUCCUUCCUCCACCUGGAAAGUAAAGGAAGCCUACCUGAGUCAGCAGUGCUUUGGUGGUGCUAAAGCCAAUGUCCACACUGGCUACCUCUUAUGAUGAGUUGGAAGUGAGAAGAUCCAAAUAGCUGGUAGCUUAUGUAUUACAUUUCCAGUAUGUUCCUCAGAAAUACAGGUUGUGUAGAAUAUUGAAAAAUUCUUAGUUCAUAUCCUGGGUCUAUAAAUUGGCAGGUUCACUGACUAAGCAUGAAGAAGUCUUUGUUUUUUUUUAUCCUUGCCUUUCCUUCCGUAUUUCAAAAAAGAAAAGAAGAAAUAUUAGCUAUUUUACACUAGUCUUCAAUAUGAGAGUAAUCUUAAAUGAGGUUUUUCUCUCCCACUUCUCUCACCUAUCCACCCUUUACUUUCUGAUCUUUUUCUUUUGACUGAAACUAGUGUAAAAGUUGAUUUGUUCUGAAUUGCUUAGUAUUUUUUCUGUAGAAUAGUUACAGAUUGAUCCUAAACUUAUUUCUUAAAGGUUAUGUGCCCCCACACAACUACUGUCAUAUUAAAUAAAACUCUAUACAAUAAAAGAAUUUCAAAUGAAAAUAUGAUACAUUUUUCAUAGCCUUUAAUUUUGUUUGGUCAAGAACCAUAGUAAAGCCAGGUGCAGUGGUGCACGCCUGUAAUCCCAGAGACUCAGGAGGCUGAGAUAGGAGGAUCGUGUGUUCAAAGCCAGCCUCAGCAAUGGUGAGGCACUAAGCAACUCAGUGAGACCCUGUCUCUAAAUAAAAUACAAAAAAAAUUAGGGCUGGGGAUGUGGCUCAGUGGUUGAGUGCCCCUGAGUACCCAGUCACCAGCACCCACCUACCCCCUCCAAAAUAAAAAGAAUCAGAAAGGGAGAGCAAACUCAUGUAGCUCUGUUGGUGGGUAACAGGCACUUAUUUAAAUAAACAGAUUAUAGUGUGCUUUUUGCAAUUUAACCUCCAUACAGGUGAAAGGUUCUCAGUGAAAGUAAGCAAUAAAAUAAUACUUUUAAAAUGCAAACUUGGCUUAUUUAGAAGUGUGAUAAAUUAAGCUCAUUGUAUGUCACUGUAUUAACAUGUUUAUUCAAAUAUAAAGGAAAAAGCAUUAAACUAAAAAACGCUUCUCAUCAAAAUUUAAAACAUUUGUUUAUGUGGCUUUUCUCCUAAUUAAAAGCAAUUGUUGUUUACUCACUCAUCUCACAAAUUAGCACAUCAUAAUUAGAUGUCAUUUNAAAAAAAAAAAAAAAAAAAAAAGAAGUCCAGUCGCAGGAAACAGGAGUAAGGGACAAGAGGGCAGAAAGGAGAGCCAGUGUGAGAAUGUGCUAUCAAGCUGUCAUCCAAGAAGCCACUGAAAGAGUGUUCUUAGCAGAUUUUCUCUUAGAGAAUAAAGGGAAGAAUUUAUACUUCAGCUUCCAUCUCUCUUUGGUUAAAGAUUUUCUCAAGUUAUGCAGAAAAUGACAAGUCAAAGAUUCAAAUGCAGUCAGGCUUGUUCAAGAGCCCAAACCCUUAGCCAUUCUAUAUUGCUCUUACAAAUGUUAGUCAAUAAUGAGAGCUAAGAGUAAACUAGAAGCAAUGAUACAGAGUAGUUAGUAUUCUAGGGUUACAGGAGGAAUGCUUCUUUGAGGCGAUAUUUGAGUAAAGACCCAAAGGGGAAGGAUAUUCCAGACAAUGCAAAGAAACUGAGAUAAUGUUUAAGGAACUAUGAGGCACAAAAUUACAGAUGCAGUGUGAACUGUGGAGAGAACAACAGGAGGCAAUAUUGGAGAGAAAGAAGAGAACAAAGAGGUGUGGAUCACACAAGGGCCUUGUAACCACUGACACUUUUUUGUUUGUUUUUGAGACAGAGUCUCACUAAGUAGCUCAGGCUGGCCUCAAACCUGAGAUCCUUCUGCCUUAGCCUCAUGAAUAGCUGGAAUAACAGGCAUGUGCCACCAUAUCUGGCUAACCAUGCUGGGCCAUGUAGGCCAUUAUAAGACUUUUGACUCUUAAUCUGAGACAGGAAACCAUUGGAGGCUUUGAAUCAGAGGAGGAAUGUGCUCUGACUUCAGUCUUAAUAGGAUCUUGUGAUAAUAGAGGGAAAGAGACUAAUGGAGGUAAGAAUAAGUGGGUGGGAGCCUUUUGCAAUCUCUGUUGGAGAGAAAAUUAUGCCUUUGACAAGGGUGAUAGAGUAGGGGUAGAUGAAAAGGAAUGGAACCAGGUUUUGCUAAUGGAUGAAAUUAGAAAUUAGUACAAAAGGUCCUAUGUUGGGAAAUUUAGAGACACUUUAACUUGUGAACAAAAAAUAAAUCAUAAUGAAAAUUUAAAAGACAUAUAUUUAGAACCAAAGCAAAAAAUGUGGGUUGAGAAGUAUUCUUGAAGCAAAGUUCUAAUUCUAAAUGUUUGUAUUAAAAAAGAAGGUCUCUCUCUCUCUCUCUCUCUCUUUAAAAAAAAGGAGGGAAGAUAAAAAUUAAUGAGAUAAGCAUUCAAUUUAAGGAAUUAGAAAAAUAAUGGUAAAAUGAGCUGUAAGAAUUGGAAGAAGAAAGAAAAUUAUAAGAGCAGAGACUGAUAUAAUAGAUACUAUCUAUAUAAUAGAAUCAUUAAACAAAAAGUCAGUUAUUUGAAAAUAUUAAUAAAGUGAAUUUAUCCAGUGAAACUGAUUAAAGAAAAAGAGUAAAUAAUAUCAAAAAUAAAAGAAAGAUAUAUGUAUGGAUGCUGAGAGAUUAAGAAGAGAUUUAUGAUUAUAAAUAACUUUCUGCUAAUAAACAUAAUAAUGUAGAUAAGUGAAAUAAUCAAUUCUUGGGCAAAAGUAAUGUAUUAAAAAGGAGCCAAGAAGAGUCAGGGAGCCUAAAUAGUCCAAUAACCAUAGAAAAAAAUAGAAUCAGUAGUAGCUAAAAUCUCCCAGAAAAGAACACUCUAACCUAACGAUUUUAUUGAUCGAUUCUACCAAACAUGUUUUUAAAAAUUCAGAAUACAAAAAAAGAAGCAACAUUGUCCUACUCAUUCUGUAAGGCUAGAAUAACACUGAUACCAAACCUUGAUGAGGAUAGAAUAAGAAAACUACAUGUUAACUUUAUUUAUGAAUGUAUAAAUGAAAAUCCUGAAAACAAAUAUUGCAAAUUGAAUUCUGCAAUCUAUAAAAAUGAUAAUACAUCAUUUGGAUCCAUCCAGGAAUGUACCAUUAGUUUAAACUUUGAAAACCAAUUAAUGUAAUUAAUACAAAGCUGAUGAAAGUAUAAUUAAUCACAUGAGCACAGUAAAUUUAAGGAAAAAGAGCAUUAUAUGAUUCAAUGCACAGUGUAGAAAAAACAUUUUUGUAGUGCUGGGGAUCAAACCCAGGGCUUAAUAUGUGCUGGGCCAGCACUCUGCCACUGACUGAGACCUCUAGCCCUGAAAGAAAACCCUUAAAAAUAUGCAAUUUUCUUAACCUAAUAUACAGAAUACAUAUUCCAAACAGACUUUUUAAAAAACAAAAGAAGCUGAUUCAUAAAUAUAUAUGGGAAAGAGCAUGGGCUCCACAAGAGCCAAUAUCCAAAGGAGAAUAACAAGGUAGAAGUACUUGACCUCCUAGACAUGAAAACUUACUAGAUCUAAAACUGUUGUAAUCAAGGCAUUUGAUACUGCAUAGGGGUCGAUAAAUAGACAUACUAAAGAGAUUGGAACACAGAAACAGACUUACUCUCUUAUAGGAAGUUAUGGUAUUUCUCUACCAUUCCCCAUAUUGCAUCAACAGGAGAUGCUACAGAUAAUUUUCUAUGCAGGUAGAAGGAAGCUACGAAUGAAUUAACUUGGACUAGCCAUGCCUAGCAUCAUCUCUGAUCACUCUUUCCCUCAUUUAACAAGGACUGUUCAAAGGCAGUAUUUAGUUAGGGUCUUAUAUAGUUCUACAGCACAGAGUAUGGAACUCUGUCACUAUUAUACUUACACAAUUAUAAUUGCCAGUUUAUUUCUAUGUAAGUUUCUAUAUUUCCCCAAAGUUCUGAAAGUAUAACUUUAAGUAAAUCCCUUAAGGGAGAGUAUCCUACCUGGUUUGUAAUUUUAUUGUCAGGGCCUAGUACUAUCCCUGGAAUGUAGUUAAUAAACAUUUGAUAAUAUACUGAUUCAUAAAUAAAUGGAUAUAUGGAUGAAGAGAUAGAAAGUAAGUGAAUUCCAGAACAAUUCAUCUAAAAUGUAUUUAAGGUAUUUCAUCAUAUUAUUCUGCUUUAUAAAAAAAUUAUUUCUUUAUAAUCUUUUUGCCAAAUCUGGUUUAAGAUGAUAUUAUUCCAGGCUAUCAUAAUACCACUUUUUGCACAUUCUUCUUUUCUUUACAUUGAUUAAAGAUACUUCAUGAUGAGGGAAAAAAAACUCCAAGUUCUACUUUUCUAGAAUGGUGUUUCUGUCAAAUGGAAUAAAUCAUCCACAAAUCUUACAUAAGUUUUUAAAAUCAUUAAUUUUCAUGUUUAUGCAAAUAAAAUGUUAAUUAGAAUUAUCUGGAAUAGCCAAGGGGCCCAAUAAAUAUUUGCUGAAUAAAUGAAAGUUUAAAUAUAUAAUUCUAGAAGUGACUCUUUUUAUUUAUUAUCACAUUUUUAUAAUUUCUUUCUAAAGGACUUUGAUUGGCCAAUAGAAGGACUGCUUAUUCCCAACAGCCCUCCCAUGAAGAAACCCAUCCAGAAGACACCAGAGCAGUAUGUCCCUAUGAGACUCAGAGUUUUGAGGAACGGAGAUAAGAAUAAAAGCAGAUCCCUUGUUACAAUUUGUCCAGAAAUAUCAUCUAAAACACAGUAAGAAUGACUUGCUCAUCAUUAUCAUUAAAUAUACUUUCUAGUUUCUAUAGAUUUUUGUCUACUUUAUUAUGAGUGUUUUUCUGGGGGUAAUUAUGUAUUUAUUUAGAAAGAGUGCUCCUAGUUGAUAUUUAAAGGUGAAAACAGAUACAAAAAUUCAUUUAGUUGCUAUAUCAGGAAAUUAAUUCGAUCUCUGCUGAUAUAGGCUAGGCACAGGAGAAAAUAAUGAAUUAGAAAUAAGUAUCUUUGAUUUUAAAAAGGUUCUAUGAGAAAUGUCUGUUUGGAAUUAGCACUUUUGCUUGAGUUUUAUUAACAUGUUGAUAUAACUGAACUCACAAAUUGCUUCUUAAUUAUAACUUUGUAAUUCUUCAUUUAAGUUACUAUUAUACACAAUUAUUCAUAUUUAUACCUUUGAAAUACAUAAUGAACAAAUACAGUUCUCAAAAGUAUAGCUUUAUAUAACAUAUUCUUUCCUCUGGAUAUUUUAAAAGUUUAUCUUCCUAGAAAAGCAUUGAUUUUACCUUAUGAUUGAAAUAAAAUCUUUCUAAACAGUCAAUGUUUUUCUAACAUUGGUGAAAAAUCACCUGUUAUAUUUUUAUUACAUUUUAUGAAAAACUAAUCAUAGGUCAUUGAGAAGCUUUGAUGUAAAGAAUGAGUUAAACACAUUGUUUCUCAUAUAAUUACCAACAAUAUUACCUCUUGACCUUUCAUUUGAAACAUUUAGGAUAUUUGAAACUGCCGAUAAUGGUUUAAUAUUACUUUCUUCACAUUGAUUAAAUAUACUUCAUACAUCGCUGAACAAUGAGUAACAUUCAUAUUGGCUGUCCACUGAACUGCCUGUAAAGAUGAUAAAGUAAAAAAUUAAUCUUCAAAGUAAAGUCAAGCCUGAAAUUGAAAUCUUUGACGCAUACAUUUCAUAAUUAGCUCAUUCUGCUACAUGUAAAAUGUGAGGUUAAUGCCUUUAAAAAAGUGUCUGACCUUUUUCCUAAAAGCCCAAAGUUAAUACAUGAUUUCUUAUUUAUUUAUUUUUAUUCUAAUCUUUAACUGUGGCUCAAAAUUAUAUGCAGGUAAGAUCACAUUAAUGUUUUAAAAUGCAGGUUCAGUCAGGGAAUCCAAACAUUUUGAGAGACUGGCAACUUUGGGCAAUUAUUCUGGCAAAGAGUAUAUGAAACUGUCCAUUGUCUGACAUUUAUUUUUAUGGAAUAGUGUGUCCUGGUUCAUCAAGCAUUCGGACAUUAUUUACUUUUUCAUGAAUUAUAUAUUCCUGAGAAAUUAAAAUACAUUGGCAUGUACUUGACACUAAAAUUGUACUAAAUAUUAUGUAAUCUUUGUUGGCUCAAAAGUAUUCUACAGGAUCAUCAAUAGCAUCCCUCCCCCCAUCUCUGCUGUAUGUAAACACUGGUUAACAAAAGAUUUACAUGGAAAGAGUCUUGGCUAAUACUGCAGAACGGCCAUGUCACCCACCUGUUGAAGGGUCUGUUUAUAUUGUGUGAAUGGCAUCCCAGUGUCAUCCAAGAUAGAAGCCCAGCAAUGCUGCUUUUAACAAAUACAAGCUACAUAUCUUGCAGAAGAAAUAAAUUCUGUUGAUAUACAUGGAUACAUUCCUUGAAUUAACCUGAGAAAGAGGUUCCAUUGGUUAGUGCCUUUACAAGUAAAAUCAUGAGAGAAAGAUGAAAUAGAAAUCUAGUUUAAUUAAACCCAGCUCUGGUUCUGCUAUCCUUCGGUUAUUUAAUAGCUCCCUGUAGACAGUUUUGAGGGUUUCUCUUUGUUAUUGUUUCCUCCAUCUGCAAAACCAAAUGAAGAUCAAAUGGUAGUAUUUUUCACUUAAUUGAUAUUAUUCUUAGUGACACAAUCUUCUCAAUUAGUCUUGAUAGUGGCUGCCAAGAAUAUAUAACUUAAAAACUGAUAUUUUUUUGUCAGAGGCAAAUUUCAUUUUUUAGAAUUGUAUUUUAAGCAAAGAAAAUUUUAUAAGUGAUACUUUAAGGAAUAAUAAGAAGAAAGGCUCAAUAUAAAGCUCUAUAGUAAACUUUAUAUUUCAAAUCAUUUCAACGUACAUAUAAUAAUUGUUAAUAAGUUGUGAUCUCUGAACUUACUCAAGCUCCUUACUAUAGCUUUUAAGGCCUUUUAUAAACAAUCCCUCUAUAUUUCUCUAGUUAUAAUUCUUACCAACACUUCCCCCAGUCCCACUUCAAAACCCCGCACUGCCCAACACCUCCCAUCUCCGUAAUAAGAAGCAUAUUCUGAUGAUAAGUUUGGACAUUUCUAGAUGUUAACCCUGAACUCCACAUUGCAUUGCUUCCCACUGAGAUUUUUGUAGCUGGUUGUACACUCCGUUGCACCAGUUGUCCUGGCCUCCUCCCAGCCUCAUAACUACCAUUCUGUUUCACACUUACCUGCAAUGCCUCAAUCUGUGAGAUGGAAAUAGGAAUGGUGUAUGUGCUGUCUGCUAUGGAACAGUGUAUUCUAGCUAAUCGAGGUAUUACAGAUUCACUUUAAUUGUAUUAUCAAAGGCCUACAGUACAGACUCUGUCUCUAAAUAAAAUACAAAAAUAGAGAUGGGGAUGUGGUUCAGUAGUUGAGUGCCCCUGAGUUCAAUCCCUAAACCAAAAAAAAAAAAAAAAAGGGGGGGGGGAGCUACAGUAAGCCUCAAGUCAGUGCUUAUUGAUUGAAUGAAUGAAUCAUUACAUUUGAUCACUAUUAUUUCAUUUAAUAAAGAGAUUCUAAAAGUGCAAAGAAUGUUUUUCUAACUUGAAAAUUCAAAUAAUACCGUUUGUGAUCAUGACUAUUUUUCUUUUAAAAAAAUGUUUCGGUUUGGGACUGGGGAGCAUAGCUCAAAGGUAGAGCACUUGUCUAGCAUGUAUAAGACUCUGAGUUCAAUCCACAAUAGUGCAAAAAACACACAAAAGUUUAGGGUUGAAUUAAUAAUAGAACCAUAUGUGAAUAAAACAGAAAAAAUUAAUGUAAUCUCUGUGUUUUUUUCAAAGGUGACAAAUUUACAUCUCACAGUGUUCAAUUUUAUUGGAUUUAAAAAAUUUUUUAUUUGUUUUAAGUAGUUAUACUUGACAAUAGAAUGCAUUUAUGCACUUUGAUAUACCAUACAUAGAUAGGAUAUAAUCUCUCAUUUUUCUGAGUGUGCAUGUUGUGUAAUCAUAUUGGUCAUGCAGUCACAUAUAUAAAUACAGUAAUAAUGUCUGUUUCAUCCUACUAUCUUUCCUAUCCCACAUCCCCUUCUAUCUCCUCCCAUCACUUCCCUCUACCUAAUCUAAGGUGACACUAUUCUUCCCUAGUACCCCCUGCCUUAUUGUGAAUUAGCAUUUGCAUAUUAGAGAAAACAUUUGGCCUUUGGUUUUGUGGGAUUGGCUUAUUUUGCUUAGCAUGAUAUUCUCUAACUCCAACCAUUUACUGGCAAAUGCCAUAAUUUCACUCUUCUUUAAAGCUGAGUAAUAUUCCAUUGAGUAUAUAUACCACAUUUUCUUUAUCUAUUCAUCCAUUGAGGGACACCUAGGUUGUUCCAUAGUCUAGCUAUUGUGAAUUGAGCUACUAUAAACAUUGUUGUGGCUGCGUCACUAUAGUAUGCUGAUUUUAAGUCCUUUGAUAGCUGGGUCAAAUGGUCGAAGAGGACUAGAAUAUUGCAAAUUAAUUUUCUUAUGUAUAAUACUCAUAGUAUACUUGUUUAUAAAACAACAUGUUAUUAUUUAAUAUGUAGUAUGAAGUUUAGUAUUUAAUUGUAUUAGUGGAAAUUCUUUGAAAUAAAGAUAAGACUGUUUUAAGGUAAAUCAUGGUAAAUUAAGACCUCCUAAUUUUUCAUAUGAGAGAUAAUUAAUAAUUUAAUGCUAAUACAAUCAAAUCUUGAAUAAUUUGUUUCAGAAAUGUUAAUCCUGAAAGGAAAGAGAAAAUCUGUGUUACUAAGAAUUCUGUGACUGAAAUAAAUGAGACUGAAUUUCAUCAUCUUUUGGAGAGGUAAAUAUUUAAUAUGCUAAAUGUAA
rnacentral:lncRNA from 1 species